rnacentral:rRNA from 1 species
GAUGAACGCUGGCGGCGUGCCUAAUACAUGCAAGUCGAGCGAACAGACGAGGAGCAUGCUCCUCUGACGUUAGCGCCGGACGGGAGAGUAACUCGUGGAUAACCUACCUAUAAGACUGGGAUAAUUAUGGGAACUGGAGUCUAUAGCGGAAAAAAUUAUUAACCCUAUGGGUGCAUUCGGUAAGUUGGUUUUGUUGUCACUUAUAGAGCUACCCGGGCCGCAAUCGCUAGUUGGUAAGGGAACGGGUUACCAAAGUCACGAUGCGUAGCCGACCUGAGAGGGUGGUCGGCCACACUGGAUCUGAGAAACGGUCCAGACUCCUGCGGGAGGCAGCAGUAGGGAAUCCUACGGGAUGGGCGAAAGCCUGACGGAGCAAAGCCGCGUGAGUCAUGAUGGUCUUCGGAUGGUAGACCUCUGUUGUUAGGGAAGAACAAAUGUGUAAGUAACUAUGCACGUCUUGACGGUACCUAAUCAGAAAGCCACGGCUAACUACGUG